UCACCAAUCAAGCCUGGCUUGGUGUUGGGUGCCGUCCCGCCCUCUGCGGCAUGGACGCUCCCUAAAACUAUCGGCGGUGCAGCACCGGCUUCGAGCGUAGCAGACCUUCGCUUUCUGGAGCCCGGUGCGGCAGCGGCCGCGACGCAGCAACCUCAA
rnacentral:misc_RNA from 1 species